GCAGUGUGCAGACCUUCAUGAGUGAUAAUAUGUUGUUUGAAAGGCUUGCCUUUGACAGACAAGAUGGAAGGAACAUUCUGCAGUAGCCCAUAAGCUGUCCCAGAGGAAACUCUCUCUUCAGCCACGUGCCUUGGUGCCAUCUGAGGAGAGAUGAUGACAGACACAUACUUUAUGCUUUACACAUUCUUUACACAGACUUUUCUUCUGAUUGAUCUAUAUGAGCAUAAAGAGUGUAAAAAGAGUGUAGACUAAAUCUAAGGUCAGAAUAUUGCAACAGAGCUGAGAAACGUGUUUGAAUUUCCUCUUGGGGAUCAAUAAAGUAUCUAUCUAUCUAUCUAUCUAUCUAUCUAUCUAUCUAUCUAUCUAUCUAUCUACUAUGUUGUGGGGAAAAAAAUUACAUGUAAGUUCAUAUAGUGUUUACUUUAACAAAAUCCAGGCUAGUUACUGAACAAAAUCCAGGCUAGUUACUGAACAAAAUCCAGGCUAGUUACUGAACAAAAUCCAGGCUUGUUACUGAACAAAAUCCAGGCUAGUUACUUGAACAAAAUCCAGGCUAGUUACUGAACAAAAUCCAGGCUAGUUACUGAACAAAAUCCAGGCUAGUUACUUGAACAAAAUCCAGGCUAGUUACUUUAGAAAAAUCCAGGCUAGUUACUGAACAAAAUCCAGGCUAGUUACUGAACAAAAUCCAGGCUAGUUACUGAACAAAAUCCAGGCUAGUUACUGAACAAAAUCCAGGCUAGUUACUUGAACAAAAUCCAGGCUAGUUACUUUAGAAAAAUCCAGGCUAGUUACUGAACAAAAUCCAGGCUAGUUACUGAACAAAAUCCAGGCUAGUUACUUUAGCAAAAUCCAGGCUAGAUACUUUAGCAAAAUCCAGGCUAGUUACUGAACAAAAUCCAGGCUAGUUACUGAACAAAAUCCAGGCUAGUUACUGAACAAAAUCCAGGCUUGUUACUGAACAAAAUCCAGGCUAGUUACUGAACAAAAUCCAGGCUAGUUACUUGAACAAAAUCCAGGCUAGUUACUU
ensembl:lncRNA